rnacentral:rRNA from 1 species
GAUCAUGGCUCAGGAUGAACGCUAGCUACGGGCUUAACACAUGCAAGUCGAGGGGCAUCAGUUUGGUUUGCUUGCAAACCAAAGCUGGCGACCGGCGCACGGGUGAGUAACACGUAUCCAACCUGCCUCAUACUCGGGGAUAGCCUUUCGAAAGAAAGAUUAAUAUCCGAUAGCAUAUAUUUCCCGCAUGGGUUUUAUAUUAAAGUAAACUACGGUAUGAGAUGGGGAGUGCGUUCCAUUAGUUUGG